GUGGUCCUACGAGGGGCAGCAGUGGGGAAUAUUGCACAAUGGGGGAAACCCUGAUGCAGCAAUGCCGCGUGAGUGAUGACGGCCUUCGGGUUGUAAAGCUCUGUCUUCAGGGACGAUAAUGACGGUUCCUGAGGAGGAAGCCACGGCUAACUACGUGCCAGCAGCCGCGGUAAUACGUAGGUGGCGAGCGUUGUCCGGAUUUACUGGGCAUAAAGGGAGCGUAGGCGGACUUUUAAGUGAGAUGUGAAAUACUCGGGCUCAACUUGAGUGCUGCAUUUCAAACUGGAAGUCUAGAGUGCAGGAGG
rnacentral:rRNA from 1 species